rnacentral:misc_RNA from 1 species
AUUGCGUGGAACCAAGGCAAUAAGCGUGACUCUUUAAAAAAGUCAGUGUAGAUAUUCCAGAGAACAGGGAUUAAAAUCUGAUUAUUGUAUUAGCUGCGAGGAAAGGAAAAAAAUUCGAUUUCAUUAAGAUCUGAAAUUUAAAUGAACGACGCAAGCGUUAAUCCCGGUCUGUUGUUGUUGCGUAGGACAAUUAAGAUCCCAUUGCGUAUAUUUUUAUGGAAGAACUCGGAACGAAUUGACGAUGUAAAUUGAUAUUUGAUUCCAGUGAUUGUGGACAAUUAUCCACGACAGAGAUUGGCGGUAAACUCCACAUUUAGAUCUUUUUCUGUGAUUGGACAUUUCUCUGUUUAAUAUGAGAAAGUAACAGGCGAGCGGAGCGAGGUGCGUAUAGCCCAGCCGAGGAACCAUGCGGCUCUUCCAAGACCAAGUCUCUAUGGAGGACUUUGAGCCCCCUCCCCCGUUUCUAAAGGACCCUACUCGGGAUAACUUGAAACAUAUUACCCAGUUUCGUGACGGGAGACAUCGCGUGGCGACUCCCGAGAAAGUGGCCAUCAUGGAACUGUCCACGAGUUUCGAAAAGAGGCGCCUGGGGAAACAGCAACAGAUCCUGACGGAGAUGAACCAGAGGUGUCGGGAACAAGAGGUGGCGGAUCUAUCGUCCAAACUGUCCAAUAAGUGUGUGCUGGAGUCAGAGAGGGGCGCGGUGGGUCGGUCCCGUGAAAUAACGUACUACUCGACCACGUUCAUGAUGCACAAACCUAAGACUGUGACAGAGGAGCUGGACAUGUCCAACAAGACAGAGUCGCCCUCUACAACCCCUCUGCCGUUCUUUGAGAAAACGUACAAACAUUUUCCGGCGAGAAAAAUUAUCAAACAUCAAGGGAACCUUCCAGGAAAAUACAGUAGGGGGUCACCCCCCACCCCCCAAUUCUACCGAGCCCCCUAUUGAAGUACAGGCGCACUGAUAUCGAAUAUGUGAAAAAUUAUUUAUCUAUUGACUGUGCACAUAUUCCGAAUCUUUUUUAACCGUAUAUGUAUAUCUUAAAAUUCUUGGUUGUGAUUUUAAAAACCUGUCCUCAUGUGUACUUGUGGUCUUUGGAAAACAUUUGGCGUUGAUCGGUUGAAAACCUGCUAGACGUCUCCGUGAAAGAGGGAUUAUCAGUGAUUAAGGCGGAUUAAGUCACAGUAGGCUGAAGCGCUUUGGGCCAGCGUCCAAAAUCUUUAAUUGCAAAAAUGUGCAUACAAUGCAAAGUGUUGUUUUGGUCCUGCAGUUUAAAUGUUUAAUGAUAAACAUUUACAACAAAAUGGUUUUAACGCACAUAGGGCCAAAUCAAAAUACUACUGUAGGAUUUGACAGGAGUUGUCAGGAAAUUUCAUCGGGAUUUAAAUGCCUUUAUGACUGCUCGCAUUAAUUAUUGUCAUUCCACAUAUCAACAUAUUGUCUACUGAAAAAUCUUUAUCAAGCACAGCGGGGGAGCGAGAUCCACCGUUACAUCUGAUGACGUCAAAACUAUGGCGAAAAUUGACUGUUGAGGACACCGUGAACUCCUGGCUUUGUCUCGUAGAUAAAAAUAGAUUAACCGCACUCCAAGAUUUGUUUAAUUAUCGAUUCCAUCUUGAUUUUGUUUUGAGAGAAGCCUGGUUUUAUUGUGUCUGUAAAUAAGUACGAACAAAGUGCUGAGAUGGGCGAGACAGUUGGACAACUCAUCAGAUUUUUAAAUAUUAUGUCAUCUCUGCAAUGAUUUGAGUUUUUCAUACAAUAAACGAAAACUUGUUUGUAUUCGUUUAAACAUAGUAUUGAAUACUCUACAGGUGUAAAUUUCGCAAAUAUUAUGUUUCCAGAUCAAUUGGGUAUUAAAUUGAUAACCGUUAUUUGGGGGAAGCACAUCUUGCCCAUUUUAAAAUCAGAAAUUUUGAUUGAUAUUUGUCAAAUUAUUUGAAAUAUCCAGCUUCAAGAAAAGAAAAUGGUAAAAGACUUUAAUCAAAAUUUUUAAUUUAUAUAUUUUUAAAAAUAAUUUCAACACUUUGAUGAAAAGUUCUGCUGUGGGUAUGUAUGCCGGCCUACAUUCUACUUAGAGGGGGUAAGCUUUAAAAUCAAUGCCAUCAAGAAAUAAAUUAUACAUUUUUUG